GACGAACUGUGCGAACGUUAUUCGGAAUCACUGGGCUUACAGGGUGCGUAGGCGGCCUGUUAAGUAGGGUGUGAAAUCCCCCGGCCCAACCGGGGAAUGGCGCUCUAAACUAGCAGGCUUGAGUGAGCUAGGGGUGCACGGAACUUCCAGUGGAGCGGUGAAAUGUGUUGAUAUUGGAAGGAACACCGGAGGCGAAAGCGGUGCACUGGGGCUUAACUGACGCUGAGGCACGAAAGCCAGGGGAGCGAACGGGA
rnacentral:rRNA from 1 species